UUACUAUUAACAGUAUACUUUCUAUUUCUUUACAGCCAAGAAGAACACCCGGGGACCUUGUCGGCAGUUGAAGACGGCGAAGGUCACUCGAGUGACCAACAGUCAUAUUAGCAUCGGAUACGACACGCGGCCUCGGGCUGCACCAACGGCUGAAUUGCAUAGCUCUUUGGCCCACGACUUUGGUCACGUCGUUCGGACCUAUUGCCCUAUGCAAUGGAAGUCUUGGAAGGUCAUGCCUAAAGAGAUGCGGACGGAGGUGCUCGGACAGUUGUCGGUAUGUAUCCUACCUUUUAAAUGUUUUGUAAGUUCAAACUUUCUAUAUUUCUAUUACUUAAUGUAUGUAAUUAAUAAAUUGCAGACGAACUACAAUUUAGAGGACCUCGAUGAUGAGUCGGUGGCGUACGUCAACAGACUCUUUGCUGAGAGGUACAAGCAAUGGAAGAGCGACCUGCACCACCAUUUUCAGUCAUUUGAUGAUCCGCAGGUCGCUCUUCAGGAAGGGUGGGAGGAUAGCUGGGCAUGGCUUUGUGGUCAUUUUUAGGAGUCUAUUAGGUGGUAAUUUUUUUUUUUUUUGUAAAUUCAGUUCAAUAUUAUUACACAUUUUUUACUAACGUUUAUUUAUUUAUUUAUUUAUAUUUCAUUUCAAUUUCAACUAAUAUGUUUAUUUUUUGUAUAACAGAAGGCGGCGAAAGCAAAUAAGGGCAAUAGGAACAAGAAGACGCUUCUCCACCAUUCAGGUUCCAGGCCAUUCUCAUAUAGGAUGGAGGCUCGGCGGCGGGUAAUAAAGUUGUUUAUAUUAAAUUUUUAAUGUCAUUAAUAUAUAUAUAUAUUUUUUCGUACUAACACUUUUCUUCUCUUGUUCAAUUCAGGGGGUGUCCAAAUUCUCGGAAAUUGACUUUUUUGACAACGUUUAUGUUCGAGCUGGCAAUGAGUUGGUGGAGUCCCUUCAUGUAAGUAUUACUAUAUUUUUAUUAUUAUCUUAUGCAUUCAAGUUUCAUAAUUACUAUAUGAAUGUUGUAAUUAAUAUUUUAUAUUAUGUCAAGCAGGUGACGAUGCUGGAGAGGAGCCAGUUGGUUCUUCAUGAGUCCGCCUCUCAGCUUCCUCCUGACACUUCACUCGAGUCCUUGGAUCCUCCACACGAUGCGGGGUUUCAGAUCCUGACCGAGACCUUGGAUCAAACUCUCGGGAGGAGGCCAGUGACAUAUUGUCGCGGGAUGGGGAAUGCCAGGCGGCGGGAACCUAUAGGCCAUUUAUCGUCACAAUCAAACCAAGUGACUGCUUUGACCGCAGAGGUGGCAGAGCUGAAGACCCAACUCGCCUCGUAUAGUACCCAGAUGGCACAUAUAUCACAGCUUCUAGCAUCCAUCAUUUGAUCCGACGUUCUAGCUCCGAAUGUUGGUCCCUCGUCCACCUCCGACUCUAUCCAGCCCGAGCAUGGCCACCAGAGCUCUGCUCCUAUCGACCAUGUCCAGACUUCGGAGCCACAUUUGCAAAACGACGAUAUAGAUUUUGGAGCAUUAUUUUGAUUAUUGUUUACUUUUUUCAUUAUAUUUGAAACAUUUUUCUUGUAUUCUCUAUAUUUAUAUAUUUUUCCCC
rnacentral:lncRNA from 1 species